rnacentral:tRNA from 1 species
AGGGGUAUAGCUCAGUUGUAGAGUAUACGCUUUGUGUGCAUGAAGGCUUGGGUUCUAUCCUCAGUACCACCC